UUGGGAGGCUGAGGUGGGCGGAUCACCUGAGGUUGGGACUUUGAGGCCAGCCUGACCAACGUGGAGAAACUCUGUCUCUACUGAAAAUACAAAAUUAGCCGGGCAUGGUGGCAGGUGCCUUGUAAUCCCAGCUACUCAGGAGGCUGAGGCAGGAGAAUCACUUGAAUCCAGGAGGCGGAAGUUGCCAUGAGCCGAGAUCGCGCCACUGCACUCCAGCCUGGGCAACAAGAGCAACAUUCCAUCUCAAAAAAAAAAGUCUCUACCAAAGUUGUACUUAUGUUGAAGACCUUUUCUAACAUUCUGUACCCAUUGCGUCACCGAAAAGAAACUUCACAAAAUUAAAGUGAAUAAACAGCGCUCAUCCAUUCCCUAGGAGAGAAUGUGGGCUGACCUCUCAGCCCGCUGUGCUGCAGCCUGGCUGUUCAACACAAAUCUGUGAGGAAGACCAGUGUUGACAAAGCCACUGACAUAAUUGCAGAAAUGAAAGCUGACAAUAGAAACCAUAAUGUCAAUAUCCAUUACCCUGACUGAUCAAUGUGACGCUGGGGUCUGCUGUGUUGCCCAGGCUGGAGUGCAGUGGCAGGAUCGUGCCUCAGUGGAUCCCAUUUCAUCUGGCAAUCCUCGUCGUGGGGACGCAGGCGGGGCAAAGACAGCCAGCGCUGCACUGCCUCCACUAUCAUUCAGGAGCUUUCACAUGAGAAGUCCGAAUGGAUCCCCACGGUCGCUUGAGAGAUAGAAGCUUGUGGUGUAGCAAGUCACAUUCCUGUAGCACUUGGUGGGAGCUGAGGUGAGGCUGCGGCCAUUAGGAAGACGUGAGCCUCUGCAGCCCACAGCUGCUUCCCCAGCACUGACCACCAGGGGAGGACGGGGUGACACAGCAACCUCAGGAGGAGCAGAACUCAUCUGAGCACUUACCACGCACCAGGCUCCACGGGGCACGCCUGACACAGGAAGGCAGCCUUCAUCCCCCACAUCUCUGUGGUUGAGAGGUGCUAUUCUCAUCCCCAUUCUACAGAUGAAGAAACCGAGGCUCUGAGAAGUUAAGCGACUUCCCUGAGAGCACACAGCGAGGGGUGGGGCUGGGAGUCAAACCUGCAGCUGUCAGACCCUGGAACAAGGCCAGAGGAGGAAGGAGAGGGACGGGAGAAGCCGGGCAAGGGUGAGCUGCAAGGCCCCAGACCGCCAUCAGAAUCCAGGAAGCACAGGAAGCCGUUGUCGCUCCUAGGGCUGUCGUUUCCUGCAGCCCCUUCACACCCCUGUGGGUCUCAUGGCCCCCACUCUGUUGGCCUCUCCCCUAAAUCCCUG
rnacentral:lncRNA from 13 species